rnacentral:rRNA from 1 species
CAGCACCUCAAGUGGUCAGGAUGAUUAUUGGGCCUAAAGCAUCCGUAGCCGGCGCUGUAAGUUUUCGGUUAAAUCCAUACGCUCAACGUACAGGCUGCCGGGAAUACUGCAGCGCUAGGGAGUGGGAGAGGUAGACGGUACUCGGUAGGAAGGGGUAAAAUCCUUUGAUCUAUUGAUGACCACCUGUGGCGAAGGCGGUCUACCAGAACACGUCCGACGGUGAGGGAUGAAAGCUGGGGGAGCAAACCGGAUUAGAUACCCGCGUAGUCC